rnacentral:lncRNA from 1 species
GGAGAGAGCCGGCUGUCGGAAAAAGAAGACUGAAUAAUACACACAUAGUGUCAUGAAAGCUGGAGAGUGAAGGUGUUUAUUGGAGAGAGAGAUUUGAACAAGACUCAUGUGUCAAAGUCACAAACUGAGCUGAAAGGAAGGAAAGAAGACAAGAUGUGUCAGGCUCAUAGGCAGAAGGGAUUUGCCUUGUCACCAAGAUGAGACUUUGGACUGUGGAACUUUUGAGUUGAAACGAGUUGAGACCUUGGGGAACUGUUGGGAGGG